rnacentral:rRNA from 1 species
CGCUGAACUUAAGCAUAUCAAUAAGCCGGAGGAA